ensembl:lncRNA
CAAGGAAAAGGUUUUUCGGUCCGAGCUUAAGGUAUGUUGUAGCACCAACGACCUUCUCUUUGGGCUAUAAGUUUGGAGCUUCAGCCUCUUAAGAUGGCAGAGCGACACCGUUGAACGCUUCCCAAAGGUCAAUAGGUCAAGGAAGGCCUUCCAAAAAGAGUAAAGUACCCAAUCUGGAAGUCAAACCAAACAGGGAUUUUUUUUUUUCUGUUGGGUCAAACAGGCAGACUCUCAGAUAUGUUGUUCAUGGGAACAAUGGGGACGCGUGAAUGCGUUUUGAAACCAUCCGCUAUCUCGAAAGGUCACAAAAUUAGUAGGUUAGUGUUUUCCCCAUUCACUUAUAUUGCCUUUUGGAAGCACCUUUCACCCUCUGUAAAAAGCCAAGGAAAAGGUUUUUCUGUCCGAGCUUGAGCUAUGUUGUAGCACCAACAACCUUCUCUUUGAGCUAUAAGUUUGGAGCUUCAGCCUCUUAAGAUGGCAGAGCGACACCGUUGAAC